CCCUUAGAUGUUCUGGGCCGCACGCGUGCUACACUGAGUGGAUCAGCGGGUCAGGUUGCGCGAAAGUGUUUCCUAAUCUUGAAAUCCGCUCGUGAUGGGGAUUGACGGUUGCAAUUUUCCGUCAUGAACGAGGAAUACCUUGUAAGCGCGGGUCAUCAUCCCGCGCUGAAUACGUCCCUGCCCUUUGUACACACCGCCCGUCGCUCCUACCGAUUGAGUGGUCCGGUGAGGCUUUGGGAUCUGAGCGGAGAGAGCGUUUCGCUGUUUCUGCUCGGAAAACUCAGUCGAACCUUAUCAUUUAGAGGAAGGAGAAGUCGUAACA
rnacentral:rRNA from 1 species